rnacentral:rRNA from 1 species
CGUUAUCCGGAUUCACUGGGUUUAAAGGGUGCGUAGGUGGGCUGGUAAGUCAGUGGUGAAAUCUCCGGGCUUAACCCGGAAACUGCCAUUGAUACUAUCUGUCUUGAAUACCCUGGAGGUGAGCGGAAUAUGUCAUGUAGCGGUGAAAUGCUUAGAUAUGACAUAGAACACCCAUUGCGAAGGCAGCUCACUACGGGAAUAUUGACACUGAGGCACGAAAGCGUGGGGAUCAAACAGG